rnacentral:rRNA from 1 species
UACGAAGGGGGCUAGCGUUGUUCGGAAUUACUGGGCGUAAAGCGCACGUAGGCGGAUCGAUCAGUCAGGGGUGAAAUCCCAGGGCUCAACCCUGGAACUGCCUUUGAUACUGGCCAUCUCGAGUCCGGAAGAGGUGAGUGGAACUCCUAGUGUAGAGGUGGAAUUCGUAGAUAUUAGGAAGAACACCAGUGGCGAAGGCGGCUCACUGGUCCGGAACUGACGCUGAGGUGCGAAAGCGUGGGGAGCAAACAGG